GAUGAACGCUGGCGGCGUGCCUAAUACAUGCAAGUCGAGCGAACGGACGAGAAGCUUGCUUCUCUGAUGUUAGCGGCGGACGGGUGAGUAACACGUGGAUAACCUACCUAUAAGACUGGGAUAACUUCGGGAAACCGGAGCUAAUACCGGAUAAUAUUUUGAACCGCAUGGUUCAAAAGUGAAAGACGGUCUUGCUGUCACUUAUAGAUGGAUCCGCGCUGCAUUAGCUAGUUGGUAGGGUAACGGCUUACCAAGGCAACGAUGCAUAGCCGACCUGAGAGGGUGAUCGGCCACACUGGAACUGAGACACGGUCCAGACUCCUACGGGAGACAGCAGUAGGGAAUCUUCCGCAAUGGGCGAAAGCCUGACGGAGCAACGCCGCGUGAGUGAUGAAGGUCUCCGGAUCGUAAAACUCUGUUAUUAGGGAAGAACAUAUGUGUAAGUAACUGUGCACAUCUUGACGGUACCUAAUCAGAAAGCCACGGCUAACUACGUGCCAGCAGCCGCGGUAAUACGUAGGUGGCAAGCGUUAUCCGGAAUUAUUGGGCGUAAAGCGCGCGUAGGCGGUUUUUUAAGUCUGAUGUGAAAGCCCACGGCUCAACCGUGGAGGGUCAUUGGAAACUGGAAAACUUGAGUGCAGAAGAGGAAAGUGGAAUUCCAUGUGUAGCGGUGAAAUGCGCAGAGAUAUGGAGGAACACCAGUGGCGAAGGCGACUUUCUGGUCUGUAACUGACGCUGAUGUGCGAAAGCGUGGGGAUCAAACAGGAUUAGAUACCCUGGUAGUCCACGCCGUAAACGAUGAGUGCUAAGUGUUAGGGGGUUUCCGCCCCUUAGUGCUGCAGCUAACGCAUUAAGCACUCCGCCUGGGGAGUACGACCGCAAGGUUGAAACUCAAAGGAAUUGACGGGGACCCGCACAAGCGGUGGAGCAUGUGGUUUAAUUCGAAGCAACGCGAAGAACCUUACCAAAUCUUGACAUCCUUUGACAACUCUAGAGAUAGAGCCUUCCCCUUCGGGGGACAAAGUGACAGGUGGUGCAUGGUUGUCGUCAGCUCGUGUCGUGAGAUGUUGGGUUAAGUCCCGCAACGAGCGCAACCCUUAAGCUUAGUUGCCAUCAUUAAGUUGGGCACUCUAAGUUGACUGCCGGUGACAAACCGGAGGAAGGUGGGGAUGACGUCAAAUCAUCAUGCCCCUUAUGAUUUGGGCUACACACGUGCUACAAUGGACAAUACAAAGGGCAGCGAAACCGCGAGGUCAAGCAAAUCCCAUAAAGUUGUUCUCAGUUCGGAUUGUAGUCUGCAACUCGACUACAUGAAGCUGGAAUCGCUAGUAAUCGUAGAUCAGCAUGCUACGGUGAAUACGUUCCCGGGUCU
rnacentral:rRNA from 1 species